CGAAGGGACGUUAAAUUGCAUUUUGCUUAUUUAGUGGUUUGAAUAGGAAAUGUUCCCCCACAGGCUCUGGUGUUUGAACACUUGGUUCCCACCUGUCGGCUCGGAUUCGAAAAGCCAAGGAAUCAUUAGAAGGUGGAGCUUUGCUGCCGGAAGUGAGUCACUAAGGGAGGGUUUUGAGGUCUGGUAGCCACACCCCUCCCUCGGUCCACUGUCUCCUGACCAGAAUGUGACCUGUUGUCUCAUGCUCCUGAGGUGACUCCAUUAUUGCCAGUAUAUAGCUUGUAAUCUGGAAUACACAUCUCUCUCUUACGUUGAUUCUGAUAAGGUAUGUCUGUGCACCGUGUAUGUGCCUGGUGCCUUUGGAGACCAGAAGACGACACUGGAACCUCUGGAACUGGAGUUACAGCUUGUAAACUGCCCUGUGGGUCCCGGGAAUUGAACCUGUGUCUCCUGGAAGGACAGCUCGUGCUCUUAAUCACUGAGCUGUCUCUGUAGCCUACCCUCUGCCUCCAAACUGUUUGUCUUUGGUUUUCUCAGCUACACUAUGCUUUCUUUACUAUGAUAAUUAAAUAGGAAGUUGUAUAUAAAAUCCUUAUGAUAGUACCUGCUGUCUAGUAGAUGUUCAAUA
rnacentral:lncRNA from 1 species